AUACUAUGAUGGUUGCAUAGUUCAGCAGAUAUUAAUGAAGAAUACUUACCUUAUUGUCUGAUGUAUCU